AGGUUUCCAGAGUAAAGCUGAUCUGCUCUGGGUAAGUCGGGGCCUAAGGCGAGGUCAAAAGACGUAGCCGAUGGACAACAGGUUUAGAUUCCUGUACCGCAUAUAAACAGAACUGUGGGGACGCAUGGGGAGAGCAUGGGCCGGGAAUGGAAAUACCGGUGCAAGCGAAGGAGGUGUGCAGCCGGCAAAUCCGCUGCAUGAGCCGAAAGCGUGACGCGGAGCGAAAUGAAAGUAGCGAAGCAUGUGAGCCCUGUGCCGAGAAAAGCCGCUAUAGCUUUAUAUGUGCCCGUACCGUAAACCGACACAGGUGGAUGAGGAGAGAAUCCUAAGGCCGGCGGAAGAAGCAUUGUUAAGGAACUCGGCAAAAUGACCCCGUAACUUCGGGAGAAGGGGUGCCUGCGAGAGCAGGCCGCAGAGAAUAGGCUCAAGCAACUGUUUAGCAAAAACACAGGUCUAUGCGAAACCGAAAGGUGAGGUAUAUGGGCUGACGCCUGCCCGGUGCUGGAAGGUUAAGAGGAGAGGUUAGCGCAAGCGAAGCUUUGAAUUUAAGCCCCAGUAAACGGCGGCCGUAACUAUAACGGUCCUAAGGUAGCGAAAUUCCUUGUCGGGUAAGUUCCGACCCGCACGAAAGGCGUAAUGAUUUGAGCGCUGUCUCGACAAUGCAUCCGGUGAAAUUGAAGUACCAGUGAAGAUGCUGGUUACCCGCGCCAGGACGGAAAGACCCCAUGGAGCUUUACUCCAGUUUGGUACUGGGAUUCGGUACUGCACGUACAGGAUAGGUGGGAGACUAAGAAACUUGAACGCCAGUUUGAGUGGAGUCGCUGUUGGGAUACCACCCCUGCAGUAUUGGGUUUCUAACCAGUCACCGUGAUCCGGUGAUGGGACAAUGCCAGGCGGGGAGUUUGACUGGGGCGGUCGCCUCCGAAAGGGUAUCGGAGGCGCUCAAAGGUUCCCUCAGAAUGGUUGGAAACCAUUCGAAGAGUGCAAAGGCAGAAGGGAGCUUGACUGCGACACCGACGGGUGGAGCAGGUACGAAAGUAGGACUUAGUGAUCCGGUGGUAUAAAGUGGGAUUGCCAUCGCUCAACGGAUAAAAGCUACCCUGGGGAUAACAGGCUUAUCACUCCCAAGAGUUCACAUCGACGGAGUGGUUUGGCACCUCGAUGUCGGCUCAUCGCAUCCUGGGGCUGUAGUAGGUCCCAAGGGUUGGGCUGUUCGCCCAUUAAAGCGGUACGCGAGCUGGGUUCAGAACGUCGUGAGACAGUUCGGUCCCUAU
rnacentral:rRNA from 1 species